UCUAAGGCAGUUGGGGAACUGGCAACUGAUACUCUAUCUCUGGGAAACAGACAGAGAGUGUGUCUGGAAGUGUCUUUCUGAAGGAAACCAACUUUGGAGCUGCCUGGGAAUUGGAUCAGUUUUUAAGGAGAGGUUGAGUGAGUGAUCCCUCACACUGGUGGACAGCAUGUGGGUGUGAACCUCUUCCCUUCCUAAACCUUGUGAGGACUAUUCAUCUUGAUACUGCAGUUUGACCAAACCAAGGACUCUGGAGUUUAAACUAUGAGCUUCCUGAAACAAGGAUCGACUUUCACAGUACCUGGCAGGCACUUAGUGAUUGAUUGAAUGAAGAAGUAAUCUGCUGGACAACAUGGGAGAAAAUGGGAUGCAGCACAUAGAUCAGGAAACUGAGGCCCAUGGAUAUUAAAUGAACUGCAUAUGGUCAAAGAGAUAAGAAACCAGCAGAGGUGGUAUGACAAGUUAUAUCUAAUGAAAUAUAUGAGAAAAUAAGAAUUUUGGAUUUAGAAAAAAGACAUGUCUUCCAGGAUUUGGGAAGCAAAUGUGAAAUAAAGAAAGAAUACUUGACUUGGUAGCUAGGAGACCUCAAGUAUUCUAUCCCCAAAACCUGCUCCUUAAUAUGGACAGUGAUUUCAUCUCUGAUCCUAGGUUUCCUCACUGUGAUAUAAUGGAAGAAACACUGGAUUUGAAAUUCGGAAGGAAUGAAAUAAAAUAGGAAUAAUAAUACACAA